UACGUAGGGUGCAAGCGUUAAUCGGAAUUACUGGGCGUAAAGCGUGCGCAGGCGGUUGUGUAAGUCAGAUGUGAAAUCCCCGGGCUCAACCUGGGAAUUGCAUUUGAGACUGCACGGCUAGAGUGUGUCAGAGGGGGGUAGAAUUCCACGUGUAGCAGUGAAAUGCGUAGAGAUGUGGAGGAAUACCGAUGGCGAAGGCAGCCCCCUGGGUUAACACUGACGCUCAUGCACGAAAGCGUGGGGAGCAAACAGG
rnacentral:rRNA from 1 species